ACGACGACGACGGUCCCGCAGGAAGCUGACGGAAUGUUGAAUUAUUAUUUUAUAUUAGACGCGGAUACGUUUUAUAUCGCGCCGGGUUCUCGGCAUACGAAAUGCGGACAGCUACAUACAAACUGUACAGGUAUAUAAUACCUAUCUAAUCGUAUAUAUAUAUGAUAAAAUCAUUAUUAUUAUUAUUAUUACAGGUAUACGAUUUGCAAAACCGUCCACGACUUCCUCCCCGAGACUCGCGCGCAUACGACGGCGACGGGUAUACCGGGUCCCGUGCGCGGAAAAUGUGUGGCACGUGCG